CCUCCAUACAGUAAAUUACUUGUGUUGCAUCAAUCAAACAGAAAGCAUCUCACAAUUUAUUGUAUUACCAACUAAAUUUAUUGUCUGGUCACUGCUUGGUCAUACCAGACUCUCUCUGUGUCUUUAUUUUUCCUUCUUUGUUUUCACAAACGUUUCACCUAUUGUCCUGCAAGCUGGAGAGUUAAAUGUCAGUAGUGGGUAAAUUCAGCAGUUGAUAACAAAACUAUUAAGUUUUUCCUGUUUUAACACCAAUGUGAGAUAUAGAGGCGCACAUAUAGUGUGUGCUCUAGUGUAAGCUGCUCUUCAUUGCAUGUAUGUUAGUACGCUUGCAUGCAGGGCCUCUGGGCCUGUCUCACCCAAAAGGGCAUUUUCUUAACAGUUGCCUUUCACUCGUGUGUGUUAAGAAAGGCAAAUGUGCUUGUAGCAGUUGUGAGAUUAUUAUGCUGUCAUAUAUUACAUUAUACCUGUAAUCAAAAUGAGUGAAUCAUAAUACUGCUGGAGGCCACAUCAUACUUCUUAGUUAAAAGAAUUUGAAAAUCAUUAGAUUUAUUAGAUAGGUUUGUAUUAUCCUAUACUGCUGAUUCACUGCUGAUUUACUGUGAGUGAGUUACACUGUUUCAUGACAUUUCAUACUGCCGAGUUAUGAAGAGAAUAUUGUAUUCAGAGAGUAGGGGCCUCUCUCUCUUUUUCUUUGUGAUAGUAAAAAGAACAGAGCACAUGCCACGGGAGCGUCACCCCCACCUUUGGUGGAAGCAGAAAAACAGGGAGCCAAGGUCAUAACUCAGGCUCACAAAGAGUCAGAAAGAAUGUGAAUACUUAGUUUUGUGGCUGUGGCGCAUUCUGUAUAGCUUCUUUUCUUUGUUUAGUAGCUUUCUGCCUUCACCUGAGGGUGUGCCCUAAGCAUGUGACUUCAGGUCUCCAUAAUUGGAGUUUAUUUAAAGAUAAACAAGAUGAUUUCAUAUAUUGCUCGCAGAUCAUGCACUAGACGGUAUGUUGCAGUAUUAGCCUGCUUCAACACUUAAACAAAACAUCACUCUUUGUUCUAUUAUUAUUAUUAUUAUUAUUAUUAUCCUGUCUCAAAACAGAAAAUGAAAUUGUAGUUGUUCUUGGCUGAGAAACACAAAACCUCUUUUUUUCUUUUUUUUUUUUUUUUUCAAAACAAGAAACUAAGUUUUAAUCUCUCAGCCUUGUCACAUAAAACAAAACAGAUAACCCAGCUCUCAGCUGGCUCUGGACUUAUCAUCAUCAAGGACACAAAAAGAAAAAGAAAAAGCUGCUGCCAGAAACAGAGCAGAAGUGUGAGGAAAAAACUGAGCUCACAGACAGCUGCAUGUGUGACCUUUAAUAUGCAGCUUCUGCACUAAAAAACAAAUACAAAUUAAAAAAAAAAAAUGUGUAACUUGCUCAUCAGCUUGGUAGUGUCCACAUAUUUAAUUCAUUUUAUUCAGCUUUUCAAACCUGUAGCUUUAGCUGUUGUAUACAGGGUUUGACUCAUUAGUUGUUAGUAUAGGUUUGCUCUUCAUCUUAACAAAGUCUCAUCUAAGAUGACAGGUUUACAAGCAGGUCAAGUGUCUCUAUGCACCUGAUUAGUGUAGUUAUUUCCUUAUUUUCUUCAUCUCCUAUAUCAUUGUACUGAGUUUGAGCAAACCUUAAGCUUGAUUUAGACUACUUUUAACAAUCUUCCACCUCGCAUCAUAACUGACUGAAGUGCCUCUUCCUAUUAAUAGUAUGUCAUUAUUAAUGUUAUCAUUGUAUUGUUUUUCCUUUUUUAUAACAGCAAUAGUAUAUCACAAUACACUACUUUACUACUAAUAUACAAUAGUAUAUUUUUAUAUUUUAUUAUGUAUCCAUCACGGGUCUGUGUGAACCUGCAGCUUCACACCUUCCCAAGCUGGAGACAUUUCCCUUGGCUGAACAAUGACACAGCCUUAAUAUGCCUUAUGCAUCCCUCUUUUUUAUUUGAUAUAUUUUGUGUGAAUUAUCUGGUUUCACGCAUUCUAUCCAUUCUAGGCACGGUCGUCAUGCCAACUAUAUUUCAUUGUUAAUACCAGUUUACAGAUUGUUAUCCUUCUAUUAUCAAUUUGAAUACAUUAAAUAAGCUCUAAUUUAAUUUAACCUUUUGUUUAUUCCACUUCAUUCCUCUUUCCAUGCUUUAAAACAUUACAACUCUUGUGUACGCUUUGUUUUCUUUUUAGGAUUCUUUUCGGUAUUUAUUUCUACUUGGAGGGUUUCUUUUAAUUUAGUCAAUGCAGAGGGGCUACAUUUUCCCUCCCAUGUGGGGCAUUCAGUUUUUGGGUUUUUUUUUUAUUUCUCCAUCUGUUUGCGCUUAUU
ensembl:lncRNA